UUUAUGUCCUGAAGUGUUUCUGUUUUUAUUGUUUUCUCCUGUCCUGGUUAAUUGCAGAUACUGGGAAUACAUAAGCUCCUUAUUUUUAGGUACUGCGAGUACCUUCCUAAGGUGGUGUAACUUUGCCUGUGCAGCCAAGCAGCAGGAUUUGUCAGAGGCAUUGAUACUUAACGGUGGCAUUAAAACUGAUUCAGUCACUGUUUAUUGCAUCAGGAGCUUGCCAGGGGAUGUAGUCACCACGAGUAAACUGUUGGAUCAACCAGGAGACCUCUCUGGAAUUUCUCACAGGAAUGGCAGAAGCGAGAGGAGGACUAGAUGAAUUACUCUGCUGUGCUACAGUUCAGGGACAGCAGGCUGGGAAUUUAUCUUUGUACAGACUAUUUAUAUGCUCGUAAGGCCUUUGUUGCAGCAAGAGGUUUCUCUUCUCCAGGGAUAAAGCUGUGGCUGCAGUGAGUGACAGCGAUUUAGAUAAACCAGCCAUUAUUCAGCAAGCAAUAGCCUCUCGUUGUGGUGCUAUAAUGACAUGGUUAUUUGUAAUUACACAGAAUCACAGAAUCAUAGGGGUUGGAAAGGACCUCUGGAGAUCAUCUAGUGCAGUUGUCCUGCCAGAGCAAGUUCAUUGCUUUCUUUCUGCAAGAAAAAAAAAAAAUAUCCACACUUUCUGCUGCUUAAAAAAUAGAUUUUAAAUAGAAGUCUGCUUUACAGAACAAGAAGCUAAGUCCUGCAGGGCUGUCCCCCUGAGAUGUCCCAUUCAUGUUACCACUUCAGUAGUAACGAUAUAUUCUGCUCUGAUGUCUUACACUGCCAAAACCAUUAAUUGGUCUGUUGUUUGUUUUUUAUUUUUUGGUUUU